UACAGAGGUCCCAAGCGUUGUUCGGAUUCACUGGGCGUAAAGGGUGCGUAGGUGGUUAGGUAAGUCCGAUGUGAAAUCUCCAGGCUCAACCUGGAAAUGGCAUUGGAUACUAUCUAGCUUGAGGAGUGGAGGGGAGACUGGAAUUCUCGGUGUAGCAGUGAAAUGCGUAGAUAUCGAGAGGAACACCAGUGGCGAAGGCGAGUCCCUGGACACUUCCUGACACUGAGGCACGAAAGCUAGGGGAGCAAACAGG
rnacentral:rRNA from 1 species